UUAUUCUUUUUCUUAUUUUUGAAAAUUCUAAUAUGUUAUGAUAAUAAGAGUUAAGCUGGAAUGUUGUCGGUAACAAACGGACUCUAUUGUCAUCCAUUUAUUUUCGAUAAUGGAGUUUCUAAAUCGACGAUCAACACCGUUGAAUAUAAUCUAUACCACUUAAAAUAUUUAAAAACCAAAUUUCAAAUCUUUCGACAUCAUUGACCUAAUAAUUUGGCUAAAUUACAGAAAAUCCCCCUGUAAUAACCCGCUUUUUCACUUUCCCCCCCUGACAUUUAAAAACCUACACUUUGUCCCCUUAUAAAAUGAAAAAUGUUCACAGGGGGGUUACGGUGUGUAAAAUGACCAUUUUGCCCCUCGCCAUUGUUGUCUUCUUCCUGAGCUUCCUCAGCCGCCCCUUCGAUCCGCCGGUUUUCCACCUCAAUCGGCCACGAUUCCUCUCAAAUUUCUUCUCCACCUGCUCCCCUUCUCCUCCUACACCGUCGCCGCCCAUCGAUUUCGGCGAUGGGUGUUGAUGGAGAGGUAGACAGGGACAACGAGAGCGAAGACGAGGCUGCGGAGGAGGACGAAGGGGACGUGGGCGAGGGCGAAGCAGUGGAGGACGGCGAGGCGGCGAGGCGGCGAAGCGGCGAGGCGGCGAGGCGGCGAGCCGGAGGGAGCGAAGCAUCCGAGAAGAGGCAGAGGGGUAUUUUCGGUAUAAAAAAAUAUUUUUUAACAGAACCCAUAACGGAACCCUAACGGAAGGGGUGAAGUGCACAUUUUUCAUUUUACAAGGGGGCAAAGUGUAGGUUUUUAAAUGUCAGGGGGGGAAAGUGAAAAAGCGGGUUAUUACAGGGGGGUUUUCUGUAAUUUAGCCUUAUAAUUUUAAUGGUCGAUAUGAGGCGUUUUUUCGUUUAACGGUAUAAUGAUUUUCAAAUCAAUUAAAUUUUGGUUAGAAAAUUCUUUAAACUAUUUAGAACAAAAUUUAUACUCUCCAUCUUAAUUACAAGAUUCUUAUCAUCAUUAUCAUUCAUUCUUAGCCAUUUAUUUUUAUAUCCACUUGGUAGACAAGAGAACAAUAUCGAAAAAGUAUGAAAUGCGAUUUCUAGAUACUUCAAAGAGUAUAAAUCAUGUUUAAUGGUGCCGAUCGUCAAUUUGGAGGCUUUAUCAUCGAAAAUAAAUGGGUAACAACGGAGUCCGUUUAUUACUGAUAACAUUUCAGCUCAACUCCUGAUAAUAAUAAAAUAUUUUAUUAAGUAACAGAAUAUUUUGAUUAAAUAAUAUUCUAUCAACAAAGCUAAAAUAUUAUUAAUUAAGAAGUACUUUUUAAAUAAGAAUAAUUGGUAUUUUAGGUUGUAAACCUGAUUUUUUUUUUCUUUUCUUUUUUUUUUAAUUCAUGCAUCUUGCAUGCAAUGCCUUAUAGUGUUAGUGUUAGGCACAAGGUUCAUACAAUUUAUACCUUUAAUAUUACAUUGAACAAGAGCUCCUUGAGCACCCAAAACAAAAUAGGUAUAAAUUUUACACACUCUCUAUUAAAACAAGCCAUUUUUUAACAUCAAUCUUAUUAUUUUUUUAAUAUUAAAAAUAUCAAAGGGUGUCUAAAUUUUUGGAUGGGACGAUAAAAAAUUUACAUCUAAUUUUUGAGUGUACAAAUAGUAUUUUUCCUUUAAUUUCGUUUUGUAAAUUUUGAAUACCCUUCUACCAAGCAGUAAUUUCAUCAACAUUCCUUCAGAGUUCAAACUUAAAUAUUUAUAUUGUUUUCAAAUGCCGCUACUUUUAGAAAUAUGUAUUAAUUUGAUGGAUUAGUUUUAAAAUUUUAUUUUUGCUCUCCGAAAAGCUAAAAACUUAAUUAUGAACUUACCAUCAUUAAAGCAAUUUUCACAAUUUUAAUAUUUUUUUUAAAAAAAUAAAUAAAAUAGAUAGAUUGCACACUUAGUAAGCAAUUAAAAUUAGUUUAUAAGCUACAAAAUUAAAAAUUAAAUUCUAAAUAAAAAAUAAAAAAAAUAACAUGUAUUAAUAAUUUGCCUUACAAGGAAUGGUUGACGAUAAAAUAAUCAUUUUAUCAACUUAACUAAGGGGCCGUUUGGUUGCAUAUAGUUGCAACUGCAUUGCAGUUGUAAUUACAUGUAAAUACAAAUUUCGUGUUUGGUUUGAUAUAUUUAACUCCAACUACUACAGUAGGAAUUGCAGGAGGGGGCUCAAUUGCAGCAGUUCGAACUACUCCCAAAUUGGCCGCAGUUCCAACCACAGCAGUUGGAGAGAGUAACUUUAAAUAAAAAAGUAUGCUUACCUCCUUAAUAUUUUUUUAACAAAAAUUAUUUUUUUUUAUAUUAGAGGUAAUCUCACCAUCAUAUAUAUAAAAUAAUAAAAUUUUAAAAAUUAUUUCUCAACUGCAUGCAAUCAAACAAAUUAUUUAUAUUUGCAGCCCUUUCUAUUAUAUCCAACCAAACAUAAUUUAUAUAGUUGUAACUGCUGUAUUUCCAAAUUCAUGUAUCUCUAACUACACUGCAUUUAUAAUUACAUCUAACCAAACGGCUCCUAAUAUUUAGGAAAAACUUCAAAAACCCCCCUUGUAGUUUCCAUUUUUUUCACUUUAGUACCCUGUGGUUUAAAAUAUAUCAAGUUAGUACCUGUGGUUUCUCACUUUAUCAGUUUAGUACCCUGUGGUUUAAAGUGUAUCAAGUUAGUUCCCUGUGGUUUUGCACUUUAUCACUUUAGUACCCUGUGGUUUUAAUUUUGUAUCAAGUUAGUACCCUGUGAUUUUUUAAAUUAUAGGGUACUAAAGUGAUAAAGUGUGAAACCACAGGGUACUAAAGUGAUAAAGUGAAAAACCACAGGGUACUAACUUGAUACACUUUAAACCACAGGGUACUAAAGUGAUAAAGUGAAAAACCACAGGGUACUAACUUGAUACAUUUUAAACCACAGGGUACUAAAAUAAAAAAGUGUGAAACCACAGGAGGGUUUUUUGAAGUUUUCCCUAAUUUUUAACUCUCUUUUAACCUGAGUAAGCUUAUAAAAGUUCACACUAGAAGCAUUUAUGAUUAAUCAACAGGUUGAGACUCCAAAUUCAAAUAGUCAGAAAUGAAAAAUACUAUCUGUACAUUAAAAAGAAUGAAGAGUUACAAAAAUCUUUAUAUUUGUCGUAAAAAAAAAUAAAAAUUACAAGACAAUGACUCAUUAUUGGCAUUUGCACGAGAGUUUACGAUUUAUACCUUAUUUUUGGGCGUAAAAGUAGCGGCACUUGGGCUACCAGUGGAUUAGGCCACGCAAACUCCGAACAAGAUAUGGCCCAAAAUUAGAGGAAAAAAUAAUUAUAGAGCCAAUAAGACGACAAAUUCAUUGAAGAGCUCAUUAACGAGAUCUCAACGAGAUAGUCAGAUAAGACAUAUGAUUCGCAACACAACCAAAUUUUGAAGGUCGCAUAACGAGAUCUAUUUUAUAAAAAAAGAAACCUAAAUGGCGAUCAACAAAGCUCAUUUACGAGAUCCCAACGAGAUAGUUGGAUAAAACAUACGAUUCAUAACACAACCAAAUUUUAGAGGUCGCCUAACGAGAUAUUAUUGUUGACGGAAAAAGAAACCUAAAUGGAGAGCAUCUCUUUCUUAUGCUGAAAUUUGUACAAAAAAUUGAUAGUUUAUAAUAACUUUCAAAAUUUGUGCGGAGUGAAUCCUUAGUCCCACAUAUUAGUCUCAAAAAAAGCUUGUAGAAGAUCUUCUCAACAAAGCCGCGAUCAUAUGGAAAAAAAUAAAGGAUUAAUUUUAUGCAGAUCCCUACAAACAUAGUAAAUGACAAAUAUAUUUCUAGAAAAUUUAACUUUCAUAUGUUGUCUUUACAAAUGUCCUGAUAUUUCUAAAUAUUUUCCUACCGUUAGAAAAAUUUAGUUAAUCACAGGUUAAUUAAAUACUUAACCUUGAUUGGUUUUUGACAUUUUACUUCUCUUAUAUUAUGUUGUUAUGAUUUUUAAAGAGAUAUAUUUGUGAUUGCAAAAUUGAAAAUAUAAAUAGUUUUCUAACGAUUCUCUAACGGUAACAAACCAGAUAAACAUAUUUGAAAAUAUUAAAACUUUUACAUGGACAACAUAUGAAAGUUGAACUUUGUAGAAAUAUAUUUGUCGCUCACUAUAUUUACAGGGACUUGUAUGAAAUUAACCCAAAUAUAUAUAUAUCAUAAACUGUAUCUAAUAUUUGAUAAUUUUUGUUUUAAAAUCAAAAUCUAUAUUCUAAUAUCACUUUUUGUGUUAAUUAUAGCCAUAUGCUCUAUUUCUUGUAUAAGGUCCAACUAAUAUGAAAGCUUUUAAAAUGUGCUGUGCUAGUUUCCACCAUUCAACUAAACAAGCAUUUAUUUCUUUUUUAACCAACCCCUGGCACCAUAAAUCAAAAAUAUGUGGUCAUUUUUAUUUUUAAUUAUUUUAUUUAUUUUUAUUUGUGGAAAAAAAAAUGUGUGGUCAUUUUUAUUUUUAAUAACUCUAUUUAUUUUUAUGCGUGGAAAUUAGUUAGGUGUAAUGUGAGAGGUUGUCCACAUCACAAAUCACCAAAUUAAAAGUGGUAGAUGACCCAUUUGAUCUAUAUAAUUCAUUUGCUCUGGUAAUAACUAUUUGGUCUAAAUUAUAUUUUUUGUCCUCAAAUUAAGAAGCUUGUAACACUUUAUUCUUUAAAUUUUAAUUUAUUAUGACUUCUUAGCUUGAGUUUUUUAAAUUAUUAUUAUAAUUAAGUCCACGUACAAUCUUAUUCAGUUGAGUAAAUAUUAAUGUGUCGCCAAUAAUGGUUAAAACGCCGCACCAGUUUUAGUCAAUUACAUUACGUUGUGGGACGUAUUUACAGUAAUUUGCUAUGUUAAAGCCAAGAUUAGAACGAAUUAAAAACUUAGUUUGAGGACCCAAAUUAUAAUUUAGCCUAAACUAUUUUCAUUCUAUUCAUGUAUAUUGCAUGUUCAAUUAGGAAGCGUAUUAAGUGCGUGCAUUGCCAAUCGAAUGAUAGUCGGGUCGGUAAAAAGCUGUUUUGUUUUUGGAAAAAGUAUAAAAUAAAAUUUUUCGAGAAAAAAGUUUUUCACAAACUCGGGCAACGAUCGAGCCUCCUCCGAGGCACGUACCGUCACCCACCGCAAGGGCACAAUAGAACCGUAGACUACAACGUCUUUGCACACCCGAAGAUUCGUCUUUGUCGGCCUUUCCUAAACUAAAGUGAAGAGUCGGAUUUUCGAUCGGAUUGCGUCAGCACGUUCAGCACGACUGGGGCAUUGAAUCUACAAUUUCUUUUCGUCCGAUUAGGUCGCCGAUUCACGACGGAACUUAUCCUCUCACCAAAAAGGCAAAACUACGCACAAAUACAUAAAUUAUAUGUAUCUCUAGUUUUCUCGAAAAUCGUACGUCAGAUCUAAAAUCUGUCAGCGCCAAAGAUUUCGGAAUAGUUGAAUCAUUGAAAACGAACUAUUGGAGUGCUAUGAACGGAGUCCGAUACGUAUCAGAAGUCAUCUCCAUUGAUCGGCCUCUCCGAAAAACCGAAGAUAGUUCGUCUAACUUUCUCGAUUUUGCAUUUUUAUCCGAAAAAGACGGACUCUUAUUCCAUUUCUAUAUGCUUUCUAUAGAUCCAACUUUUUUUUCAAUCUCACAUCCUUUGGUUCUAAAAAUAUAUAUAUCCUCUUUUUUUUCAAAUUUUUUUAAGGAAAAUGUGUUUUUAUUUUUUUUAUUUUUUUUCCUGAAAAAUGGGGGACAGAUAAAUAAGCUUAUUAAAUUUAUUUAUUAUCUGGUCUAUAAUUGGAUUGGUAUUUUGAUUGCAAAUCAACAGGUUGAAAGUUCGAUCCCCAAUAUGUCCCUAACAUUUUUUAAUUUCUCAUUUGGGUGCCUAAACUUUUUUUUUUUUGUUUCAAAUGUGCGCGCUUGUCCUAUCAACCUAAAUCUCGUUAUUCUCAAUAUCUUCCUUGGCACUUACGACUAUCUUAUCUUUGCGCAGGAUAUCUAUUGUCUCUUUUGCAGCAUCUGACGAUAUCUUUAGCGUCGAGUCAGAAGUGCUACCAGUUUUUUAAACAAACUGAUAAAAAAUUAGUGGCGAAGAUUGAUUAUGGCUGUCAAGCGACGACAAUAAUUUAUAUGACUAGGUAGAAUUUUCUUUUUUUACUAGAGUUAAUAUGGCUUAUUUUGUCGAAAUUAUCAUGAAUUUGAAUAGUUCAUACCUAAUUAAUUGAAAAUAAAAAUUAAAAUAUUAAUGACAUAAUAGUAAAGAAAAAGAUUUGGACUCCAAAGUGCAAAAUUGGUAAAUGUUAGGUACUCUUGGUGCAAUUAACCCAAAAACAUAAAAAAAAAAUUAAAAAAAAAUUAGAAUCGAAUACUAAGGUCAACAUCAAACGUGUAGUCUAAAAUAUAAAAGAUAUCCAAGUCAAAAUAUAAAUCAACUGCAGGUCUUCUUCGCAAUUUGCACGGGCCCAACGGUCAAAGAGAACCGUUGGGUUUGAAUUUUGACGUGCCCUGUUUUUUUCUCUUUUUUUUCUUUAAUUUAACAGUUAAUAUUUUUUCUAAAUUAAUUAUAUUGAUAUGCAAAUGGUGCGUGAUUCAAAUAAAUUUUGUACGUUUUUAAUAAAUAAAAAAUAAUAAUCUAAUUAAAGAAUAAUAUAAUAAUGUUAUAUUAAAUUAAAAUAUAUUUUUAUAUUUUUAAAUAAAAAGAAAAUUUUUAAUUGAAACGUGGUUCCUCUUGCAUUAAGUAGAUGUUAUGUGACUGAAAAGACCCUCAACUAUCCUGAUGUUACACUUUGAUCUGCUUCUCACCUGUAGUUCUUAAAUAUUUUUGUAUAUAUAUAUAUAUAUAUAUAUAUAUAUAUAUAUAUAGAGAGAGAGAGAGAGAGAGAGAGAGAGAGAAUGCUAUCGAUAACAAACGGGCUCCGUUGCCACCCAUUUAUUUUCGAUGAUGGAGCCUUCAAAUCGACGAUCGGCACCGUUGAAUAUUAUCUAUACCACUUGAAGUGUUUAGAAAUCAAAUUUCAUAUAUUUUCGAUAUUGUUCUCUUAUCCAUCGAGUGGACAUAAAAAUGAACGGCUGAAAAUGAAUAUUCUUUAAAAAAUGAUAAUAGGAGUCUUGUAAUCAAGAUCAAGAGUAUAAAUCUCGUUUUAAAUAGUUUAAAAAUUUUCUAACAAAAAUUCAACUGAUUUGGAUAUCUUUACGCCGUUAAACGAGAAAACGCCUCAUAUCGAUCAUUAAAAUUACAAAUUUUAAAACCUUUUGAUCACUAGGCAGAUGAUGUCAAAAAGAAUUGAAAUUUGAUUUCUAAACACUUCAAGUGGUAUAGAUCAUGUUCAACGGUGCCGAUCGUCGAUUUGGAGGCUCUAUCAUCGAAAACAAAUGGGUGGCAACGGAGCUCGUUUGCUGUCGAUAGUAUUCUAGCUCAACUAUAUAUAUAUAUAUAUGAAAAAACUUCAAAUAUCAUCUAUAUGGUUUCAUAUUUUUUCGUUUUAGAACUCUGUGAUUUAAAGCGUAUUAAUUUAAUGUCUUGUGGUUUUACCGUUAUCUUUUUAUUAUCGAUUUCACUAGUUUUUUUCAUUAAAUUAAUAAUAAAGUUAAAACUAAAAGGUACUCAAGUAAAUAUUUGAUAAACUAGGUAAAAUAAUUGAAGCUUUUUGUAUAUAAUUUAACGAAAUAUUAACGGAGAAACUGACGGAAAGAUAAAAAUGAAACCAUAAAACACUAACUUGAUACACUUUAAAUCAUAGGGUAUUAAAAUAAGAAAGUGCAAAAUUAUAGGGGUGGUAUCUGAAGUUUACCUAUAAAAUAUAUGAUACAUAAAUUUUUGUCAAAAUUUUUUUUUUUUUAUCGUGUUUAAACUAAACUGCAUGUAAUAAGUAAUUGUUUAUGAUAAGAAAAAUUAGAUUAACACAUAAAAUAGUUAUACAUUUCACGCCCUUUUUUGUAAAUAAAGAAAAGAAUUUGCAAUACCUCAAUUUUAUUUAUUUAAUUUUUUUUUAUCUUGGUCUCCAAAAAACAUAAAAAAAGAAAAAUCUAACCUAUUUUUUGAUUUGACAAGUUCGAUCGACAUAUUUUUCUCUUUACAAUUUUGAAUUGAAAAUUCACUUUUUCUCACCUCUUUUGUUGACCUGGGAAAAAAUCAAAAGUCAAAAAAAGAAUUUUUGGCGGAGGCGCAACGUAAGCGCCAAACGAAGCAUUUACAUUGUUUGAACAUGUGAAGAAGUCAAAAAUAGUAGCAGCAUGAGAGAAGAAGGUUUUUUUUUUUUUUUUUUGAGAGAUAAGUAGCACGCUAUCCGCUUCGUUUAUUUUUAGAAAUAAACUUAGCUGGAAAUAUAAAUCAACUAGGAUUCGGAACUUAGGUCUCGGGUACCAACCACUAAUCCCUUUGCCACUUGAUCUAGAGACGGUCGAUCAUGAGAAAAGAAGUUGAGAUUGGAAAAGUAGCUUCAAGGUGUGAUUUGUUGAACGUAGUAGCUCAAUUUUUUUUUAAAAAAAAUAGUUAAUUCACAUAAUUUAAUAUGACAUCAAAGCAAUAGAUCAUGGGUUUGAGUCCUGCCACGCUUCGUUAUUUAAUUUUCUUCUAUUUAAUUCAAAAUUCACAUACUGUAUCUAUCCGAUAGUCUCAAACUAUAAACAAUUAUGGUAAAAAUGUAUAAAGUUUCUCUAAACUGUCGCCUGUACAUUUUGAUUCAACUACUUGACUUUUAUAAGUUUGAUUUUGAUACCCAAUAUUUCGAUUUAUCUUAUAUAAGCCAUUUGAUUACUUUUUCGGUGCAAGUUUUAAGCCAAUUACUUAUUCUAAUAAAAUUAUAGUUACAUAAAUUAUAUAAAAUACACUAAUUAGACCCGUAAAAAUAAAACGAUACAUUCAAAUUUUAAAGUUUAUCAGUCAUAAACAGCUCAAAUCAAAUGACUUAAACAAUUAGAUAGCUGGAUCAAAAUUGGUCAUAGUUCAUAUAUGUUCCACACAUUAAAUUAGAGCAAAAGCUUUAGCACAAAACCUACUUGAUUCGAGAAAGAGGUUAAAAUUUUUUAAAAGAUUUUAAUUAUUUGCUAAUUAACAACUAAUUAACUGAUAUUUUUCAAGUGGAAAAUACAGAGCAAUUUUGCAACAUUCUAAAAAGAAAAAUUGUGAAAUUUAAUGUUCUCACAAGUUUAUGCGCUUCAUCAUCAAUUAAACAAAAGGCACAGCACAAAUACUACGUGACCCUUUUAGACACCAUACACUAUUGCUUCUAUUUUUGCCUAAACUUUGUACUAAAAUUGUACUUGUUAAGUAGAUGACAUAUUUAAUUAUGCCUAUUUAUUUUUGUCCACCAUUUCACAAUUUCUCACAUUCCAACAAACAUAAAAUUGAAUAGAGAAUAUAGUACUCUAAAGUUGAGGAUAAAAUUCACAAUUUUUUUUUGACUUGGUAUGCAGUUACUUUUGUUUUAAAAAAUAGGGUUAAUUUCAUACAGGUUCCUGCAAAUAUAAUGAAUAGCAGAUAUAUUCCUACAAAGUUCAACUUUUAUAAGUUAUUCCUGCAAAAGUUCUUAUGUAUUCAGAUAUGUUCCUACCAUUGAUCUCCGUUAGAGAAAUCUAGUUAACCACAAUUAAAAUACUUAAUCAUGAUCAGUUAAAAAGGUAAAAUGAUAUUUUUACCAUUCUUCAUCUUCCUCUCCUGCUUCUUCUUCUUUUUCCGCUUCCUCUCCUGCUUCUUCUUCUUCCUCUUCUUCUUUGUAUCUUCAUUUUCCUCCUUUUCUCCUCUUUUUUCUUCUUCGUCAUCGUCGUCGAUGAUCCGAUCGUCGUCGCUGUCGUGGUGCCCGCGUGGGCCGUUGUCACGGGCGCCUCCGACGGCAUUGGCCACGCUAUGACCCCGACAAGUUCCGCAACCCCGUUGGCCGCAACCCCGACAAGCACCGCAAGGUCGCCGUCACCGCCGCCGCCGUUCGCUCCCAAGCCGGAAGAGGAAGAGGAAGAGGGCAAGGAUAAAUUUGUCAUUUUACAUAUUUACUGUUAAAAAAUUAACAGUUUUCUAACUGAUCUUAACCAGAGGGACAUAUCUAAAUACAUUAGAACUUUUGUAUGAAUAACUUAUGAAAGUUGAACUUUACAUGAAUAUAUCUGCUAUUUAUCAUAUUUACGAAAACCUAUAUAAAAUUAACUCUAAAAAAUAAUAAAUAUAUAUAGGACGAGUAGGAGAGCUAAAAUGAGCUUUUGGAUUUUAUGGUCGAAAAGUUCAAUUUGAAAAUGAUUUGAUCAAUUUCUAAGAAAAAGAAAAGGAAAGUAACUACUACUUGGUCAAAAUUAGGUGGUUUUAUAACAUCAAGGUAAAAGAUAAUAACAACAAUAAUACUAACUUUGUUGAUUGUUAUUUUUGUUUAAGUAAGCCGCACCGUCACAAAACAUAUUAUAAUACAGUUUAUGAAUCAAUUUUGCUUAUGUAAGAAUUGGUAGCUCGCGAUAACUAUUAAUUUACAAAAAUGUUUUAGAAUAAAUUAAAUAGUCAGUAUUAUACAUUUGGUCGAUACAGUCAUCCGAAUUUUCAAAUCAUAAACGCGGUAUUUAAGCUGUAUUUGCGAAUAUCGGAUAAAUUGUUUUAAAACACUUUUAUAAAGUGCCCAUAACAAUACAUAGAUUAUUAUUACAAAAAUAAUUGGAUCCCUUCUCUUUUUUUUGGUAACUUUAUUUUUUUUUUUAUUAUUAUUAUUAUUAUUAUUAUUAUUAUUAUUUAUAUUAUUUUUCCUUCUCCUCUCGUAGGCUAAUAAACCCUUUGGGACGUUACAUGGACGUUCCAACUCCAAGCACAUAAAAUUUAAGUAGUAGAUUACGUGGCAGAUUCUGAUUGGUGGAAUAAUCUUAAUCAAAGACUCUCCCCCCCCAAUGCGUUUCUUGCGUGAAAUUGGUGGCGAAGGAUUCGCUACAACCCCCGUUGCACAACUUUAUACAACCCAAUCAGGUCAUUCAUUAAAAAAUUUUAUAUUUUAUUUCCAUAAAAGGAUAUAUUUUUUUUUAAAAGGAAAAAAAAAGAGAAGGGUAAAUUAAAUUUCUGCAUAAUGACUUGUAAAAAAAGAAAAAAAAAAUCUCAUAUGGCUUUUAAAAAAUGUUUAUUAUUAAAUUAUUACUUGCUAUGCACAUCUAAUUUUGAAUUAAUUAUAUUUUCUAUUUAUUUGAAAUUAAUUAUACCUUAUGAUUUAAUAUAAGAUACUUUACUAAAAUUGUGCAUUUACCUCCAAUUCUUUUGGUGUAAAACUCUAUAAUCGUUGCAAAUUUUAAAAAUUAUACCAUAAAAGAUUUAAAAAUAAGUAUAAAAUAAACUAAUAAGCUGUAAAGAAUUUAUACAUAGGCUUUAAUUUUCUUUAAAAAAAAAACACAACAAUUUUCAAAAUAAUCACGAAUUUUUUGGAGUUCGUAGCGGUUCCGUACAUGCACGGUUAUAUGAGAUCCACAUCAAUCUUUAGGAUCCUCGCACAAGUAUCGCCACGUGUCCACCAGUUCCAUCCAACGGCUCUCGACACGCUGAAUCUCGUUGCGUUUUAACGACGACUAAUCCAACCGCUUCUGGAAUCGUAGACUCGUAGUCAAUCGAACGCUGUUAUUUAAAAUUUUUUUUUAAAAAAAAAAAAAAAAUGCAAAGAGACCCCCCACCUAUUUUCAAAUUUUAACAACGCCAACAUUUUUUUCAAUUACAUUUUUUUUUUUAUACAGAACAAAGUAAGCUGAAGCUAUCCGUUUUGUUCAUUUUAUUUUUCAAAAAAUAACAAUUUAAUUUUUUUUAAGUUUUGAUCCGAUCAUCUAAUAAAUGAAAACUAAUUUGAUUUUAAUUUUAGUUUGUCGGUAUGAAUAUUUGAAUUUUUUAAGACAGUUUAUGCAGCUUACUUAUCGAUCAAUUGACUGAUUAAUUAAUUAAUUAAUUAAAAUUAAGUUGGUUUUUGGGGUUGUGCUUAUUGUAUCAAGUAAUAGCUUUGUGUUAAAAGUUAAUAUACAUACAUAUAUAAUUAUAUAUGCACUGAGUUGGUUUCUAAUUUGUUAACCCAAAAUCAAACCAAAAUUUUUAACUAAAAUUCCAACCAAAAUUAAAUCAUUUAUAUUUUCGGUUUAAUUGCGUGAUUUUUUCUGUGUUAUGCUCAAUCCUACUUAAAACUGAGAUGUUAAUUUUAAAAAAAGUUAAAAUUUUAGAGAUGUUAAUAAAAAA
rnacentral:lncRNA from 1 species